CUUCCCUCACCCUGUCAGGCUCAUCUCACCUUGCACAUUCUUAACAUUGAAGAAGAUAUUUUCCAUCUAGUGGAAGAGCUGAAACAUGCUUCUCUCCAGCCUUCUGAAGGUGGUCGUGGCUUCACUGUGUUUAGGAUCCAUUAUUGCCCAGAAGGUAACUCAAGACCCACAACCAAUGUUAGCACAGGAGAAGGAGGCUAUAACCCUGAACUGCACAUAUGACACCAGGGAUUCAAGUUAUACUCUAUUCUGGUACAAGCAGCCCAGCAAUGGGGCAAUGAUUUUUAUCCUUCAUCAGGAUUCUUAUGGCAAGCAAAAUGCCACAAAAGGUCGCUACUCAUUGAAUUUCCAGAAAGCAAGCAAAUCUAUCACACUUGUCAUCUCAGCUUCACAGCUGGAGGACUCUGCGGUGUAUUUCUGUGCACUGAGAGAGCCCACAGUGAGACUCACGUAGGAGGGACUUGUACCAAAACCCAGGGCUCCAGUCCACCUGCUGUAGGGACCAGGGCAGGGAAUUCGCAGCACAGACAGGAAGUAGCUAGGACGACAGUACAGGUGUAGGGUUGGAUGGGAGACACUCACCCUGAGAAAAUACCUCUCUAGGUUCAUAGACCAUGUUCAGAGUUAUCAUCAAAAACACCUUUAUCCCUGAUUCAUUGUCUUGAAGGUAGACACAUAGCAUUUUUAGCCAAAGAUUGGAAAGAAAG